AUGAAGGAGAUAAAGUCAAUAGAUUGAUGGACCCCUGGAAUGCUCUUUUAAGACCAACCCCGAGAAAUUCCUUCCAAAGUUGCAUGCGUUUGCAUGUUAAAAUCAAUAAAAUAUUACCAACCACCGCUCUCUAGCUUGAAAUUUUCAACCAAAGCUGUAAAACAGUUUCCUAAGCACCAGGACUUUACACACCACCACCCACUACCAUUACUUUAAUGGCUUUUGCCGCUCUCGUUUCCCACCACGACCACCACCUUUACCCCUCUCUUUGACUACUCGCUUUCUUUCUUUUUCACUUUUCACACCAUCAAUAUUUUUUAUUAUUAUUGGUUUCAACUCACUCAUCUAGUAUAUACUACUCUUUUUCCUUCAUUUAAUUCUUCACUUUCAAAAUCAAUACCAUCAUGGGUUAUCUAUCUUGCAAUGCAGAGUCCGCAAUCGCCACAUGCGAUACCUACAACUGGGAUCUUAGAAAGAAGAAGAAAACAAGAAACAAACCUGUUAUCAAGAUCAAAGAGUUCUUCUACCACCAGCUAGCCUCUGCCACAAAUGAUUUCUCCGCCAACAGUUUUCUCGGCAAAGGCAGCCACGGUAGCGUUUACAAAGCCGUGCUUCAAGACGGGAAGCUCAUCGCCGCCGUUAAAAAGACCACUUUUCACAGCCAGCCAUGUACAAACUGCACCAGCCCAGCUGAAAACGAGAUUGAAAUUCUUUCCAGAAUACAAAAUCCUAGACUUGUAAAUCUUAUAGGCUUCUGUGUCGAUGCAAAACAAAACAAAUUUCUCGUUGUUGAGUACAUGCCAAACGGUUCGUUAUACGAUUUGCUUCACUCUUCUUCUAGGCCCCCUAGUUGGACCAGGCGGGUCCGGUUCGCGUUACAGAUAGCCAAAGCAAUCCAAACGUUGCACUCCUCUAACCCGCCGGUGAUUCACAGAGAUAUAAAGUCCUCCAACAUUUUGAUCGACGAGAAUCGCAAUGCAAGAUUGAGCGAUUUCGGUUUGGCGUUGAGAGGACACGUGGAGGAUGUUAAAAUAAAGUGCACGCCCCCGGCAGGUACGUUAGGCUACCUCGAUCCUGGCUAUCUUGCGCCGGGUGAUCUGAGCACCAAGAGUGACGUGUUCAGUUUCGGUAUUUUAUUAUUAGAAAUCAUUAGCGGUAGAAACGCCAUUGAUUUGAAUUACAGUCCGCCGUCGGUGGUGGACUGGGCCGUACCGAUGAUCAAGCACGGCAACUUCACCGGGAUAUGUGAUGUCAGGGUGGGCCCACCGCCCGACGCAACCGUUAUUCGGAAACUCGCCGUGCUUGCCGCGCGGUGCAUUAGAUCUUCGGUUAAGAAGCGGCCUGAGAUUUCGGAGGUCGUUGAGUAUUUAAAAGAAGUUAGAAAGCGCAUAGAGUCGCCACGUAUUUGGAGUCAUUUUCAACGGCGCGUGGAGAAAUUUCAGCAGGCCGUUGAAGUAAAACAUGAAGUAUUUGAUGGAAGCGAAGAGUUAAUUAAGAGUUGUGGUAGAGUAAGUAGGGUUGGGAGUCGGAGGAACAGGAGGGUAUCCAGUGUUUCGGGUGCAGAGUAUGGAAGUAAUGUAGCUACAAGUGGAGGAGAUGAUUUUGUGACUAGAUCGAAAUCUAUUGGUUCAUUUGGGGAGAUCAAAAUGGGAACUGGGUCACCAUUGGUUAGGAGAAGGGCGCCCGGAGUGGCCGUGAAAAUGCCAGUGAUGAUGCUGAGCAAGUCCAGGUCAAUGGGAGUGUUGCAAAGUCCAGGGGUUGUGCGUUGUAAUAAUAAAGGGUAUGUGUUUGAGUUUGGGAAGAGACCAAAUUCAAGAGAGCUUGAGGUUUCCAAGUUGAUGAUCAGUUUAGAUGAGAAACUAGAGCAGGAGAAACCAUUUGUUUCAUUCUAAAGGGAGAAGAUUGUAACGGUAAUGCUACUUUUCAACUGUGAAUUUUGUGCUUUCAGGAAUCAGGAUACUGGUAUUUUCGUUUUAAGCAACUCAUAUUGUUUUAAUUGGAGUGCAUUUCAAAUGCUCGAAGUUCUAUUUGUUGCUGCUUCAGGACUUCACAAUGAAAGGGUGGCGAUGAAUUAUGUAGAGAUCUCUACAUUUGGCAAAAGCUCGUACAGGUUUUCAAAUUAAACAGUAGAAACCUUAUGAUCGAAUUAAACCAAAGAAACCGGGUGAUCUCGCCUUUUCUUGAUAGGAAACAAGUUUAGAGGGGGCAUAUUUGGAUGAAAUCCAUCAACUGUCAACACAUCAUUUAGGGACUUCAGUUGUUUCAAUUUCAUUUGUAUUUUUUGAUAUUCUAAGUAUUUAUUUGUUGUACAAUAUAAAUUUUAAGUUUAGAGUGAUUUAUCCCCAU